rnacentral:lncRNA from 10 species
UGGGGAAGACCUGUGCUUUAGCUUUAUGGAGCUUUUUUUAUUUGGCAUGGUAGAAUCUUAAUAAUUUCUAAUUUUAUUUGAAACUUUUAUAAAAGAGAGAGAAAAAAACAAUUCAGAUAAUUUGUAGAAGCUCACAAAGUUUUGGGUGUUUUGAAUUUUUUCUCCAUUCCUUUUCUGAAACAAUCAUAGAAAUCUAGAAAUAGAAGGAAACUGCGAUGUCAGUUAAUAAGACCUCCCACCCUCAUCCUCCAUUUGAAGAAGAAGAAACAAAGGUUAAUUGCCCGUAGGUCGACAAAAUUACCUAGGUCUCCUCAUUCUUACUCAAAUACCGGUCCUGGGUUAAAAAUGCCAUGGGCUGAUGAAAGAAGGAACAGCCAUUACUGUUGGUCCAGGCCCCAGUGAGCAUCUGGAGGCACCCUGGAGGCUGGCAAAUGCCUGCUAAAAAAGUGAAUCAAAAAACAAGAUAUGGAAGAGAAGGACGGCACUGAGGUGUACGUUACUAUAUAUAUGUCAAGAUCAUGGGAGAUCUCCAAGCUGUGGAUGAAGUGGAUAUACAUAAAACAAGGCAGAAGUGAGUCCAGCUGGUGGAGAAAGAGUGGAGUGAAACAAGGCAAGGAGAGGAACAAUUUCCACUAAAAAUAAAAUUAUUCAAAACCAGUCUUCAAACCCUUCAGGAAAUUCUGUACAGGAUGAAGUAAUUUUCUGAAGUUCCCUUACUUGCCUAAAGUUUGGACCUAGCAAAGAAGGAAACAAUUACCUCUGAUCCCUUCCCUGAGUUUUCAUUAACUAAACUCAUAUGACAGGAAGAAAGACUGAAGCCUGUCAAUGCACCUGGACAAACUUUUAUCACAAACUGUUAUCUGCUCCUCAAGCCCAAUAGACUUUGUCCUAGGCCAUUGUAUGUUCUCCGAGUCCAAUGAUUCCCCUAAAAAUAAUUUACUACCACCCUAAUAUUGUCCACACUUCCCCACCUCCCUUUACUCCAGGAAGAAGGGUAUAUAAGCAUCUUAGCCCACUGGGAUAGGAGGCAAUUACACUGUGUGUGAUUCUCCUCUGUGCACACUAAUAAAUUUGUAUACCGUUUCUCCUAUUAAUCUACCUUUUAUGAGCUGAUUUUUUCCGUGCCACUUCAGGGCAAAGUGGAAGGUUUCCACUGGCACCUACACAAUUGUCUAAUUCAACUGUGUAUCAAAUACCUAAGUAUAUUCUACAGCUUCUCUGACAAGUUUAGUCUCUGUUUAAAUGUCUCUUAAUCCAUGAAGAAUAUAUAAUACUCUAGAUUGCCGUUUUUUUAAUGUGGCACUUUUGCCAGAAUUUCAUCCUUCUAUAGAAUGUCUGGUUUUUAUGCUCAUUUACAUACAUUUUUACUAGUUUGAUCCCUAAUCCAGAUUGAGACAUUCCAGCUCAGUCAGUAACUAGUUAUGUAAUCUUUGAAAGUCACCUCAAUGAUCUAGCUACAGUGUUUUAUAGGAAAUGCUUGAAUUCUAUUAUCCUCAACAUUUCGUUGUUUGUUCCUGCUCUAAAAUUUGACAGUUCUCUAUAUGCACAUAUAUAUGUGAAUUCAUGCCAGAUGUGUGAUCUUAUGUUAUCC